GACAGCAAGGCCCCUCACUAGGUUUUGGAACAGAGCCAUUGUGCACUUAUCAGUUUGCUCUAAUUAUCUGCUUAUUGUGUUUUUUUUUACUCUUUUACUCGAGCACUUGAUCACUGCUCUUUAUUACAAUCAUUUAUUGUGAUGAAUGCAUAACUGUUGUGAGCCUCGUAUAUGUGUUUUCUGUUUUUAUUAUAAGGAUUGACCUCUAACGCUCCUUGUCAGUCUAUCUACAGUAUAACCACGUUAGGCCUUUAAAAAUAGAAAUUAGAGCUCAGUCUUCCAGCCCAUCUAUACACGCUUCUUUUUGUGGACAUCAAAAGCGCCUGCAUGCUUCCAGUGUUUCCAUUUUCAAUCUCACGCCGCUGCCAAAUCCAAAAACUGGAGCACUGAAUAAACAGAUCCAAAACGGUCCCGUACAGAGCAGCUGUUAUUAGCAUAAAUGCUCAACUUGUGCUGAGAACUCACAGACAGAGUUUGGAUAAAGAGUAAAAUGGAACGGGGAGGAAAUGAUUGAAGAAAGAUGAGGAGUCAGAGGGGCCAUGAGACGUGUUCCCUUGAAAUCUGCUGCCAAAGAAAUGUCACCAAGGUCCACAAUUAACUUUUUGUAACACCUACUAAUGAACCUGUAUGUUCCUGAGAAUGGCUGCAUAAACAUGACACGUUCUAGAACGAGAUUAGAAAUGUUUGAAGAUUCUGUCGUUCUGAAAUGUAUUUGGUUGACCUGCCUUGGAAUCGCUGUUUUCAUUGGUAAGUCUGAUUUGCAUUGCAGAAUAACGUUAUAUAUAAUCUUUUUAAUUUGCAUAAAAAUAACAGGUUCUUUAUUGGCAUUGAUGGUUCCGGGAAGAACCUGUAACAUCCGUGGAACUGUUACAUUGCACAAAAGGUUCUAA
ensembl:lncRNA